GGGGUGUAGCCUGGUGGUAGAGCGCUUGCCUAGCAUGCAUGCAGCUCUGGGUUUUAUCCCCAGCAGCACCA
rnacentral:tRNA from 1 species